CACGUAGGGACCAAGCGUUGUCCGGAUUCAUUGGGCGUAAAGAGCUCGUAGGCGGUUCGGUAAGUCGGGUGUGAAACCUCCAGGCUCAACCUGGAGACGCCACCCGAUACUGCUGUGACUAGAGUCCAGUAGGGGAGCGUGGAAUUCCUGGUGUAGCGGUGAAAUGCGCAGAUAUCAGGAGGAACACCAGCGGCGAAGGCGGCGCUCUGGGCUGGAACUGACGCUGAGGUGCGAAAGCGUGGGGAGCAAACAGG
rnacentral:rRNA from 1 species